rnacentral:rRNA from 1 species
UACGGAGGAUCCAAGCGUUAUCCGGAUUUAUUGGGUUUAAAGGGUGCGUAGGCGGUUUAUUAAGUCAGGGGUGAAAGACGGCAGCUUAACUGUCGCAGUGCCUUUGAUACUGAUGAACUUGAAUGUACUAGAAGUAGGCGGAAUGUGACAAGUAGCGGUGAAAUGCAUAGGUAUGUCACAGAACACCGAUUGCGAAGGCAGCUUACUAUGGUAUGAUUGACGCUGAGGCACGAAAGCGUGGGGAUCAAACAGG